rnacentral:rRNA from 1 species
UACGAAGGGGGCUAGCGUUGUUCGGAUUUACUGGGCGUAAAGCGCACGUAGGCGGAUCGUUAAGUCGGGGGUGAAAUCCUGGAGCUCAACUCCAGAACUGCCUUCGAUACUGGCGAUCUUGAGUCCGGAAGAGGUGAGUGGAACUCCUAGUGUAGAGGUGGAAUUCGUAGAUAUUAGGAAGAACACCAGUGGCGAAAGGCGGCUCACUGGCCCGUAACUGAACGGCCUCAUU